GCCUGGGUGGCUCAGUUGGUUGAGCGUCUGACUUCGGCUCAGGUCACAAUCUCGUGGUUUGUGAGUUUGAGCCCUGCAUCGGGCU
rnacentral:tRNA from 1 species